GUGCUGUAUAAAAGGAGUGAAGACUAGCACUCCUCUUGACAAGGAUGGAAGAGGCCCUUGGUCCUGACUACAUGCAUAUGGUUAAAAAAAUUUAAAAAAAAAUUGAGCAGAACUGUGAUAUAGA